GAUUGCCUUCUGCACUGUCUCUAUUCUCUUACAUUAAAUCCCCUGACAGAGUUGUCCAGGCUUGUUCACUGAUAGUUCUAGGUUUGUUCACUGACAGUUCUUCUGUUCAUAAACAUAUUCUGGGGGUGACUGGAUCAUUUAGAGCUGCUGCUAAAUUGGGAUCAUGACAAGAGAAGUUGCACUCGUUGUGAUGAGCUUUAAACUUUAGCUGCCAACAUGCCAUGAUCAAAGAAUUCAUUAGAUCCUGUUUUGGCACUGUGGCCAAUUUACUGUGGGUUUGCUUUCUGGAAUUGAUCCGUGCAAAGUUUAACUGAUCCUAUCAGCUCCUCCAUACCCACAUUAGCCCCAACUUCUACAGCUUCCUGUCAACUUCCUAAAAGGUGCUUAUUCAAUGGGCUGAGUUAUUCUUGAUAGAUAAAAAAAUCCUGGCAGAUGAAACCAGACACCAUCCCUGUGGAAGAGAGCUGUCCUGGAACUGCAAGAGCUGAUGAUUUGCCAUUUCUGUAAUGAGAUGAUUUCCAGAGCCCACUUCUCAGUCUACAGGCACUGUGGGAUUUCCAGAGGGCUCUGUCCCGGGGAAGCCAGCAUAUCAGAUGACUCCAGGGCAUCAGCCAGGAGCUGUUCUCAUGGGUACCAAAGGCAGAUGAGUGGCUCAGGCUCUGGGGCAGGGAUUGACUGCUCCCUGCUUCCCAGGAGACACGAGCAGAACGCUCAGGAUCCAUCCUGCCUUCAGCCCCUGCCCAUGAAGAUGGAAAUGCCUCUUGCACCCCUGCUCUAGCAGCCUGAUCUUGCCCGUCACAUCCUUCUGGACUUUGUGGCAGGAUUCUGAGUGUCCCUGUGAAGCUGCUCUGAAUUUUGAGCGCGUGGCACCUUGUCUCCUCAGAGAGACAAAGACAUGCCCUUCUUUUAGAUCCAGCCUGCUGGAAAACAAGGUCAACCUGAUUGUUUUGGAACAGAUGGCUUCCUUCCAUGUAGUGGCAUUUCCCUGGCUAAAUGGAGCCUGACUAGACAUAAAUAUCAAAUGGAGCUAUAUGUGGAGCUAUAAGUAUAGCAUUGAAUUGUAGGGUUACGAGAAUUUAGAGCUGCUGAAGAAAUUAUUAUUUUUUCCCAAAAAAUUGGUCAGCACUUAUUAUAACUAACUAGUUUUCUUUAUCUUCAAUAGUCAUCCUUUAAAACAAGUUAAAAUAAGAGGUGACAGGUUAGCCCAGUACCCCCUGGGGAAGGUUUUCAGUGAAAGAUGCCUGGGAGCAACUGCACGAGAAGAGUUUGAUAUAUUCUGAACCAUGUGCCCCAGUGGAGUGAGGGUUUGUUGAGUUCUGUGGAGAUGUGAGCCAAACCAGACCUGAUCUGGAUACUAAAACAGGAGAUUGAUGGGAAAGCAUGGGUUAUGAGGCUGGAAAAAGUACAGGUGAAUUAAUGGCACGCAGAAAGACUACCUUACUGUUUCCAAGUAAAUGCAUGCUGCUGUCAGUUUUGUUUGUUGUUUUUUUUCAAAAUAUAGGGAAUAAUUGUGCCCCAGAUUCUUGUCUGACUGUAUUGCAGCAUGCCUGUGGGGGGGUAGGGGGAGUGCAUGCCUUAUUCAUGCAUUCGAGCAUUACCUGAGAUUUCCUGUUUUUCAGGGUGUCUGUAUGUAUUUCCUGGGCCUAUAAAAGUAAUUUAGAUAAUGUUAAUCAAUUGUUUCUAAUACUGUUGUGCAGGAGGGAGCCUUCAGAGGCCCAUUCCAGCUCUCAUUUCAUAUUGCUGAAAAAGCAGGCAGCCCCAGCAGUGAAGGUCCCUGCUGCAGGGUGUUUUACUCCUGUGAGAGUGGCCUUGGUGGCGUGGGGAGCUCUGCCUUUCCAAGAGGGGCAUUCAGAGCUCUCUUCUCCAGCUUUAUCUCAUUGGCUUUUUCAGAAAAAGCAGCAGAAAUCUAAUGUAAUCUCGUUGGAGUUCAGAGGCCCUGGCUCAGUAAGGGGAAAUGCUGCUUUAUGACUCAUUUCCACUUGUCUGCACUGAGUCACUGUCCAUCCCUGCUGCUGGAAUACCUGGAAGAGUCUGACUGCAUUCCUGGGCACUUGGAGUCUACCUGACUUCAGUGAACUGGAGGGAGUUCACCCAAAGACAGGGGAGCUGAAACACCACGAACUACAGGAAUUUAGCAAGUGUGUUUGAAAGCCUGGCUCAAAACUGUGCAGGUUUGCUUUGGCUGGUAGGUCCUGGCUGAGCAAGGACUGAAACACAGCCACGAGGACUUCAAAGGGGCUCACAUCUGAGCUAGAGCUGCAUUUCUCUUUCACAGCUUGGGCAAGUUUCAAGGGCAGAAACAAACUCCAAUGAGGAUUUGAGAUAUCAUCAGCCUUGCAAGUCAAGCACCAAGCUCAAGUGUACAGUGAAGGAAGGACUUGACUGAGUGCCCAGCCCUAUUUGUGUGCCUUUGAGCUCCUGUCUGAGCAGGGGGGAACCUCAGGAACUAAUUUACUGAGGAAACCAUCAGGAACACCUCCACCCCACCUCAGCUUUCCUCUUCCCGGGUUUCCUUCUGGCUCUUUGAGCUCUUUUUUUCAUCUGCUGGUUCUGCUUCCAGACAUGCUGCCAGCUCCCCACACUUUUGUCUUUCCAAUCAGGUUUCCCAGUGCCUGGGGUGACUGCAUCCCACAAGUCUCCCUGGUCCAGCUGCAAGUCCAGGAGCUGCUGUGGUCUCAGACAUGAGCCUGUUCAGCCUCUCCUCACAUAAUCCAUCCACACACGGCAAGAGAUCAAGGUAUUUUAAAAGCAAACCCAGCUCAUUACAAAAUAGAGAAUUAUCUGAAACAAGCAUUUGUGUAUAUUUAAAGGAUUUUUUUGUCUUUCUUCACGCAAAGGUUUUUUGUUCUGCAUCAAUAUUGAAGUUAUCCUGUUUUAAGAAAUUUAGAUGAAAACUAAUUUAAGACACUAUACCCCAGCUUUCUUAGAAAAAUGCUCGUUUUUUAAAACGUCCUUAUAAAAUGUAGGUAACAAAUACCACGCAUCAGCAUUGAGACUGAAAUAAAGCUAAAUGCAUCAUUUAUUUCUCAGUCAAGUUAGGCUAGCCAGCACCACAAAUUCAUAGGUUUUCAUUCUUUUUCUUGUGAUUUGGCUGCCUAAGGCACUAAUUAUGUAGCAAGGCAAUAUAGUGUAACAUUCCUUCACACAGACCUUGUCUUUAGUUUCAGUAUUUCCAAAGGAGAUCCCCCAGCCUGCUUGAAGCAACCUUCCAGAAGGCAAAGUCACUGUUCAGAGACCUGCUCUGCAGAGACACCUUUUCUGCCCCCAAGUAAAAGUGUUCCUGCUCAUGAGAGCUGUUGACCCUCUCCAGAUACUUCCAUCUAUCAACCCAGGUGUUAGUCCAGAGCAGCUCUGGGGUUUUUUGCUUUGCUAAGACCUGGUGAUGAGUGGAGUGACCAAAGGAGGGUGAGAGCACCUGCAGAGCUGCUGGCUGCCUUCCCAGCCCUGUGGUUGUGUCUGGCUCCUGCACAGAUCCCGUGGCAGCAGCUGAGAGCUUCCUUGCCCCGGUGAGGAUACAUCCCCUGGAACAAACACAGAGCACAAUAUUACUGUAAGCAGGUCUUACUGUAUUGUAUAAGGCAGCGGGGAAAUUAGCAGGAAACAAAGCAAAACCUGGCUCCAUUAAAUCUGAUUAGUAGUUUUUGCUAGUGAAUGCUGUCAGCACAGAGAUUUUGUGUUGUUUCACAGAGGUUGGCUGAUAGUGAGUGACUGAGGCUGAGCAAGGAGUGCUUGAUUUAUAUGUGCUGUGCCCAAAACAAUCUUGAUUUUCAUGUGUGGAUUUAAAUGUUCCCCAAGUCUGUGCAGAAGCGAGUCCCUGAAAAUUAACUUUCAAAGGCUGGAAAUGUAUUUCCCAGGUCCCUGGUUUUUUGGCCUUGCUCAUUAUAGGAGGCAUCCUUCCCUCUGAUUAAGUCUUUAUGAGCUAUGUGUUGCCAGAUGAACACAAAUAAAUAAGACUGAUUCAUGAGUUACCAGCCCUCAGUAAUUCUUGAUGAUUGAUGCACUCUUGGUGUGGUUUGGGUUGCACCUCCAGUGCAGCUGCUUGACACUGUCUGUACCUACCUUGUGCCUCUCUUUUCCCUCUGGGAGGGAGAACAGACCAUUCCUGAAGCCUGAACCUGGCUUCUGAAUUUCUGCAGUCUUUCAAGUUUGCUUUUGUUUGUUAUAUUUGACAUGUCUCUUGAAGUGGCUUAUUAGUGGCAUAUGAAUAUUGAGGAAUAUGAGGGCUUCUUUCUUCUUAGUUCUACAGCUGCAUUUUAGUUAGACCUCUUUUCCAUCACUUAACUCAUAUUAAAAAACAGUAUGCUUUGGAACAGAAAAUUAAAUGCUAUAAAUCAAUCUGAAAACUAAUAGCUACCAGAAGCUAAAUUUAAGUCUGUGAGCAGCCCAGGGGUUUGCUAUUUGGGCAGGCAAGUUUUCAGCCAGCUCUCUGGAUAAGAUGCAGAGAGGUUGCAUCAUUGCAAGGCUCUGGCUGGCAAAACAUGCCACAGGAGCAGAACACUGUUGCUUAGCGACUCAUGAAGGAUAAUUAACCCUUUCCCAGAACUCCCCAUAUUCCUAUGGAAGCCCUCCUGAGCCAUCAUUCUGGACAAUAAUUGAAUAUGAAGAAACUACUCUAAUAUCUUUAGCUAUUAGAUGUAUUGAUGUAUUAAUCAUUAAUGUUUAAUGAAGGACUGUCUUAAUCUUACCAUUAGUUACUGAAGGAGAUCACUAAAUCAAAAGCCAUCUGUCCAUGGUAUGACGUGUAAUUAUUGCAAAGGAGGGCUCAUAUAAUUACAGUAAAGGUGGAGUAAAAAGU